AAAACAUAGAGAGCCGAACCUGCCCAGUGAUCAGUAAUAUGAUUUAACGGCCGCGGUACUCUAACCGUGCAAAGGUAGCAUAAUCAUUUGCUCUAUAAUUGAGGGCUUGUAUGAAUGGUUUGACAAGAACAAUACUGUCUCUUAAAAAUUUACUAAAAUUUGGUUUUUAGGUGAAGAAACCUAAAUAAAAUUGAAAGACAAGAAGACCCUAUCGAGCUUAAAAAAUACGUUAACUAUAUAGUAAAACUAAAACUAACGAAAAAAUUUGGUUGGGGCGACUGAGGAACAAAUAAAGCUUCCUUUAAUAUAAAAAACUUAUAUGUGUUGAUCCAAAAUAUUUGAUUAAAAAAAUUAGUUACCGUAGGGAUAACAGCAUAAUCUUUUUAGAGAGAACAUAUCGAAAAAAAGGUUUGUGACCUCGAUGUUGGACUAGGAUAUCCUAAUAGAUUGCAGAAGUCUUUAAAGGUUAGUCUGUUCGACUA
rnacentral:rRNA from 1 species